AGUGAACGCUGGCGGUAGGCCUAACACAUGCAAGUCGAACGGCAGCACAGGAGAGCUUGCUCUCUGGGUGGCGAGUGGCGGACGGGUGAGGAAUACAUCGGAAUCUACUUUUUCGUGGGGGAUAACGUAGGGAAACUUACGCUAAUACAGCAUACGACCUACGGGUGAAAGCAGGGGACCUUCGGGCCUUGCGCGAUUGAAUGAGCAGAUGUAGGGUUAGCUAGUUGGCGGGGUAAAGGUCAACCAAGGCAAAGAGCCGUAGCUGGGCUGAGAGGAUGAUCAGCCACACUGGAACUGAGACACGGUACAGACUCCGACGGGAGGCAGCAGUGGGGAAUAGUGGACAAUGGGAGCAAGCCUGAUCCAGCCAUACCGCGUGGGUGAAGAAGGCCUUCGGGUUGUAAAGCCCUUUUGUUGGGAAAGAAAUCCAGCUGGCUAAUACCCGGUUGGGAUGACGGUACCCAAAGAAUAAGCACCGGCUAACUUCGUGCCAGCCGCCGCCGUAA
rnacentral:rRNA from 1 species